AUACGGGAGUAACACCUGGAAACAGAUGCUAAUACCGGAUAACAACAGAUGAUGCCUAUCAACUGUUUAAAAGAUGGUUCUGCUAUCACUCUUGGAUGGACCUGCGGUGCAUUAGCUAGUUGGUAGGGUAACGGCCUACCAAGGCGAUGAUGCAUAGCCGAGUUGAGAGACUGAUCGGCCACAUUGGGACUGAGACACGGCCCAAACUCCUACGGGAGGCAGCAGCU
rnacentral:rRNA from 1 species